AAGUGGAGCAAAUAAACAGCUACAUAUCGAGAUUGGGGUCAACAACAAAGUAUAUGAAUGCUGGAGGUCGUGACGAAACUAUAACUGAACAUGUCAUGCACUGGAACAAACAGAAAGUUAUGAAACUUCACAUAAGUCUGUCCAAAAGAUAUAUUGAGGUUGCUUGCCAGAUGACGAUUCCAUCUUGUGCGAGACCGAUAAUGGACAAUCUGAUGAGGGAAAAUACAAACUGACACGAUCCAACCAACAGGCAAUAGAUGGG